AAUUGUAAAAAAAAAUACAACAAAAAAACCCAUGAAUUAUAAAACAUAAAACAAAAACAAAACAAAAACAUAAAAAAUACAACAGAAAACAUAAAACAAAAAACAUAUAACAAAUUAUAUAAAACAUAAAACAAAAACCAAAGAACAUCCAUCCAUCCAUUUUUUCCCGCUUAUUCCCUUUGGGAACGCGGGGGGCGCUGGUGCCUAAACCAAAAAACAUAAAUGAUGUAAAACAUAAAUGAUAAAAGAUAAAACAUAAACAUGACAUAUGUCGUGUUUGGUAGUCUAUUUCCUGGUUGCAGCUUCGUUCGAUGUUUAGUGUUGGUGUCCAUGGCCACUGAUUCACCUCACCUGUCAGUGUUGAGCAAUUAGUGUUCCCACCAGGUGUUUUGGUCGAUCACUCCCCUUUGUAGUUUCCUGUCACCCAGCAUGAGUUGCUGGGUCAAUGUUCACAAUAAGCAACAUUUACCUUUCUAAGGUUUUUUUCUCCUCUCUACAGUGAUUUGAUACACGAGCAUUCCAGGUUCUUCAUCCUUGGUGACAUUUUGGUUUUGUUAAGUUCCACGCUUGUUAGCGUCCUCAGUUUGUAUUUUGUAUUUUGUUUCUUGCUUCGGAGGGGAACAGGACAAUCGCAGCCGUAACAACACAUUUGACUUCUUUGUGGUGUCUUUGACCUUCUUGUCUCUCAUAUUUCUGUCCCAAGAGGGUCUGAUGAGCUGAGACGCCAAAAAGGAGCUUUGAUUGUGUCCAUCAACUCAGCUCACUGGAUUGCACUCCUCUCUUCUUCCUCUCUGCCCACUGACUGCAGGAGCCGAGGGAGAGAAGGAGACACGGAGGACCGGCCGAGGACAAGUGAGGACCGGCUGAGGACAAGUGAGGACCCAGCAGGAUUACCUCUCCCGGACGUGGCGGACUAGACAAAAGCGACACACACUUCUUCACCUCGUGGCUUCCUGUCGAUCCGUCGCCUGCGUCGGGAAGCCGGGGGGGCUGGCUGGGCAGUG